GGGGCACAAACUUUAUAACCGAGACAAGGGCGGGGCCGCAGCGCGCGUGUCUUCACCUGGGUACACCUGGAGCCCUAGAGGCACAGGGCAAUAUAAGGAGGAGGAUGGGGGCGCGCGCCGGCCUCACCGCGCAGAUUCCUAGACAAACCGCUCCGCGGUUAUCACCGGCCGAGGCACAAUGCUGAUUCCUGUGGCUUGAAUUACAGAGGACGGGGGAGGCAGGUUUAGCCGCUGUCGCCCAGAUGGCAGCACGUAUGAGCAGGACCCUUCACCCUCCACAGGCCUCCUGACCCGCAGCAGAUCUUCCGUUUGACUCGGUGUGAAGAUUGUUAGUGGUGAGUACAAGAUGGCGGAUGUGUCUGUGCCUUCAUCAGACAGGACCAUCGCCGGUGAUGCCAGAGUGCACAGCGGACUCUGCUGCGUCCAGAGGAGUAGUGUAUGUGCCAGUACCCAGUCCGCUCCCAGGGCCAGGGUGUGGUACAUGGGGUCGGAUCCCAAAGCUGGGGCGUGUGACAUAUGUGACGUCUGCUUCCCGUGUGUGUGACGUGUGGUUGGUUCCUGGGGUGUGUGAUAGAGGGGGCUCUUGGGCCGGGUGUAUGAUGUGGGGGGGCUCUCAGGCCGGGGUGUGUGACCUGUGGG